rnacentral:misc_RNA from 1 species
GAUGAAGAACGCAGUGAAAUGCGAUAACUAGUGUGAAUUGCAGAAUUCCGUGAAUCAUCGAGUCUUUGAACGCUCAUUGCGCCCCCUGGUAUUCCGGGGGGCAUGCCUGUCCGAGCGUCAUUGCUGCCCAUCAAGCACGGCUUGUGUGUUGGGUCGUCGUCCCCUCUCCGGGGGGGACGGGCCCCAAAGGCAGCGGCGGCACCGCGUCCGAUCCUCGAGCGUAUGGGGCUUUGUCACCCGCUCUGUAGGCCCGGCCGGCGCUUGCCGAACGCAAAUCAAUCUUUUUCCAGGUUGACCUCGGAUCAGGUAGGGAUACCCGCUGAACUUAAGCAUAUCAAUAAGCGGAUGA